AGAGUUUGAUCCUGGCUCAGAACGAACGCUGGCGGCAGGCUUAACACAUGCAAGUCGAACGCAUCUCAAGAUGAGUGGCAGACGGGUGAGUAACGCGUGGGAACAUACCCUUUUCUACGGAAUAGCUCUGGGAAACCGGAAUUAAUACCGUAUACGCCCUACGGGGGAAAGAUUUAUCGGGGAAGGAUUGGCCCGCGUUGGAUUAGCUAGUUGGUGGGGUAAAGGCCUACCAAGGCGACGAUCCAUAGCUGGUCUGAGAGGAUGAUCAGCCACAUUGGGACUGAGACACGGCCCAAACUCCUACGGGAGGCAGCAGUGGGGAAUAUUGGACAAUGGGCGCAAGCCUGAUCCAGCCAUGCCGCGUGAGUGAUGAAGGCCUUAGGGUUGUAAAGCUCUUUCACCGAUGAAGAUAAUGACGGUAGUCGGAGAAGAAGCCCCGGCUAACUUCGUGCCAGCAGCCGCGGUAAU
rnacentral:rRNA from 1 species